rnacentral:lncRNA from 8 species
CAAAUAAAGCAAAAUCAUAUCUCAAGUCCCAUUUGAUCUUUAAUUAAAAGCCUCGAGUCCAGCCUCACCUCAGUUCUGGGGGCUGUAACAUGCCUGUAUCAUGUCCUUUCUGCUACAUUAUGAAAGCUUGUCUCUUAAUCCCUGUUUAAUGACUGCCUCUCUUUGGUUGUACAGAAAGAGGAAGGAAAGGGACAACGGACAUGGAGUCAUGGUGCACGAUCAAAUGAAAGUUGUUCUCCAUUUAUUGUUCUUCAUGUACAUGGCGAGGGAGAGGAAAACCCAGGUCAUGUUGUCGGGAAAUUUCCUGGCCCGAAGAUAAAGGAAGUCUAUAAAGGAGGGUGAAGACACAGAGACAGACACUUGCCACAGCGGCAAGAUCCAUAUGACAUUUAAAGGAGCCAUUUUCCUCAUCCUCAUCUGCUCCUACCCACUAUCUACUAGACAGUCAUCAGCUCCACCCUUUCUAUCACUUCAACCGUCGCCCCCCAACCAGCCCUGUAAUCUCCAGGUCCCACCUUCCUGACAUGGCCUACUAUCCCCCCUCCCACAUGCUGGAGAGUGGCCUGUCCCCUCCUAUGCCCUAUGGGUCCCUACCUGCUUUCCCCAGCCCUGAACGCUGGUCUUUCCCCCGGAUGAGACUGUACUGAUCCUUUGUGUAGUAGAGACAUGCAUAAGCACAAUGCUAUGUUGUUGAGUAUUUUCCAAAUGCAUGCCAUCAAGUCUAAUUGUUUACAAUUACAACUGACUGAUGUUUUAUUUCUCUGUUGAAUAUUGUAAGGCCAUAUGAUGGGCAGGAAUACAAAGUGCCAGCCUGGAAAUGUUGUUUGCAUUUUUACAAAUAUUUUUAAAUAUUUUCUUUCAUAUUUUUUCCAUACUCUAAAACUACUUAGAGCCUGGACAAUGAAAACACAAUAAUGCUGUGGAAAAGUAACAGCAGCAGAAUGUAUUUUUUAUUGCAUGAAUACUUCUAAUUGAAACAUGUGCAUGCAAAAACAUAGAAGCACUAUAAAAUAAAAUGCAUUGCAUAACUUAUACAGUAUGCUGUUUGACAAGCAGAAUUCUUUAGCACAGAUGA